GACGAACGCUGGCGGCGUGCCUAAUACAUGCAAGUUGAGCGCUGAAGGUUGGUACUUGUACCAACUGGAUGAGCAGCGAACGGGUGAGUAACGCGUGGGGAAUCUGCCUUUGAGCGGGGGACAACAUUUGGAAACGAAUGCUAAUACCGCAUAAAAACUUUAAACACAAGUUUUAAGUUUGAAAGAUGCAAUUGCAUCACUCAAAGAUGAUCCCGCGUUGUAUUAGCUAGUUGGUGAGGUAAAGGCUCACCAAGGCGAUGAUACAUAGCCGACCUGAGAGGGUGAGCGGCCACAUUGGGACUGAGACACGGCCCAAACGCCUACGGGAGGCAGCAGUAGGGAAUCUUCGGCAAUGGACGAAAGUCUGACCGAGCAACGCCGCGUGAGUGAAGAAGGUUGUCGGAUCGUAAAACUCUGUUGGUAGAGAAGAACGUUGGUGAGAGUGGAAAGCUCAUCAAGUGACGGUAACUACCCAGAAAGGGACGGCUAACUACGUG
rnacentral:rRNA from 1 species